AGAGUUUGAUCUUGGCUCAGGAUGAACGCUGGCGGCGUGCUUAACACAUGCAAGUCGAGCGAUGAAGUUUCCUUCGGGAAGCGGAUUAGCGGCGGACGGGUGAGUAACACGUGGGUAACCUGCCUCAUAGAGUGGAAUAGCCUUCCGAAAGGAAGAUUAAUACCGUAUAACGUUGAAAGAUGGCAUCAUCAUUCAACCAAAGGAGUAAUCCGCUAUGAGAUGGACCCGCGGCGCAUUAGCUAGUUGGUGGGGUAACGGCCUACCAAGGCGACGAUGCGUAGCCGACCUGAGAGGGUGAUCGGCCACAUUGGGACUGAGACACGGCCCAGACUCCCACGGGAGGCAGCAGUGGGGAAUAUUGCACAAUGGGGGAAACCCUGAUGCAGCAACGCCGCGUGAGUGAUGAAGGUUUUCGGAUCGUAAAGCUCUGUCUUUGGGGAAGAUAAUGACGGUACCCAAGGAGGAAGCCACGGCUAACUACGUGCCAGCAGCCGCGGUAAUACGUAGGUGGCGAGCGUUAUCCGGAUUUACUGGGCGUAAAGGGAGCGUAGGCGGAUGAUUAAGUGGGAUGUGAAAUACCCGGGCUCAACUUGGGUGCUGCAUUCCAAACUGGUUAUCUAGAGUGCAGGAGAGGAGAGUGGAAUUCCUAGUGUAGCGGUGAAAUGCGUAGAGAUUAGGAAGAACACCAGUGGCGAAGGCGACUCUCUGGACUGUAACUGACGCUGAGGCUCGAAAGCGUGGGGAGCAAACAGGAUUAGAUACCCUGGUAGUCCA
rnacentral:rRNA from 1 species